GGGUAAAGUUUAAGGUUUUUGGCGUUAGGGUUAAAAUCACUGUCCAAAACUUUUGUAGGAACUCUUUUCCAACCUUUUGGAGUUAGUUUGACCAAAAAAAAAGAAAAAUGAAAAAAAAAUAUUUGGGGUGUUCAGGCUUCCUAAAAGUAAUACCCGGGUAUUAGGUUAUGGGGCUAUGGUAAGGUUUAACGUUUUGGCGUUAGGUUUAAAAUCACUGUCCAAAACCUUUGUAGGAACUCUUUUCCAAACUUUUGGAGUUAGUUAGACCAAAAAAAAAUGAAAAAUUAAAAAACAAUAUUUGGGGUUUUCGGGGUUCCUAAAAGUAAUACCCGGGUAUUAGGUUAUGGGGCUAGGGUAAGGUUUAAGGUUUUUGGCGUUAGGGUUGAAAUCACUGUCCAAAACCUUUGUAGGAACUCUUUUCCAACCUUUUGGAGUUGGUUACACCAAAAAAAAAUGUAAAAUGAAAAAAAAAAUAUUUGGGGUGUUCAGGCUUCCUGAAUGUAAUACCCGGGUAUUAGAUUUUAAGGCUAGGGUAAGGUUUAAGUUUUUUGGCGUUAGGGUUAAAAUCACUGUCCAAAACCUUUGUAGGAACACUUUUCCAACCUUUUGGAGUUGGUUAGACCAAAAAAAAAAGAAAAAUAAAAAAAAAAUAUUUGGGGUGUUCAGGCUUCCUAAAAGUAAUAUCCAGGUAUUAGGUUAUGGGGCUAUGGUAAGGUUUAAGGUUUUUGGCGUUAGGGUUAAAAUCACUGUCAUAAACCUUUGUAGGAACUCUUUUCCAACCUUUUGGAGUUAGUUAGACCAAAAAAAAUGAAAAAAGAAAAAAAUAUUAUUGGGGGUUUUCGGGCUCCCUGAAAGUAAUACCCGGGGAUUCGGUUUUGGGACUAGGGAAAGGUUUAAGGUUUUUGGCGUUAGGGUUAAAAUCACUGUCCAAAACCUUUGUAGGAACUCUUUUCCAACGUUUUGGAGUUAGUUAAACCAAAAAAAAAAUGUAAAAUGAAAAAAAAAAAAUAUUUGGGGUUUACGGGCUUCCUGAAUGUAAUACCCGGGUAUUAGAUUUUAAGGUUAGGGUAAGGUUUAAGUUUUUUGGCGUUAGGGUUAAAAUCACUGUCCAAAACCUUUGUAGGAACUCUUUUCCAACCUUUUGGAGUUGGUUACACCAACAAAAAUGUAAAAUGAAAAAAAAAUAUUUGGGGUGUUCGGGCUUCCUGAAGGUAAUACCCGGGAAUUAGGUUAUGGGGCUAUGGUAAGUUUUAAGGUUUUUGGCGUUAGGGUUAAAAUCACUGUCCAAAACCUUUGUAGGAACUCUUUUCCAACCUUUUGGAGUUGGUUACACCAACAAAAAUGUAAAAUGAAGAAAAAAAUAUUUUCGGUGUUCGGGCUUCCUGAAGGUAAUACCCGGGUAUUAGAUUUUAAGGCUAGGGUAAGGUUUAAGGUUUUUGGCGUUAGGGUUAAAAUCACUGUCCAAAACCUUUGUAGGAACUCUUUUCCAACCUUUUGGAGUUAGUUAGACCAAAAAAAAUGAAAAAAGAAAAAAAAAUUAUUGGGGGUUUUCGGGCUCCCUGAAAGUAAUACCCGGGUAUUAGGUUUUGGGACUAGGGAAAGGUUUAAGGUUUUUGGCGUUAGGGUUAAAAUCACUGUCCAAAUCCUUUGUAGGAACUCUUUUCCAACCUUUUGGAGUUAGUUAGACAAAAAAAAAAGAAUAAUGAAAAAACAAUAUUUGGGGUGAUCAGGCUUCCUUAUUGUAAUACCCGGGUAUUAGAUUUUAAUGCCAGGGUUAGGUUUAAGUUUUUUGGCGUUAGGGUUAAAAUCACUGUCCAAAACCUUUGUAGGAACUCUUUUCCAACCUUUUGGAGUUAGUUAGACCAAAAAAAAAAAGAAAAAUGAAAAAAAAAUAUUUGGGGUGUUCAGGCUUCCUAAAAGUAAUACCCGGGUAUUAGGUUAUGGGGCUAGGGUAAGGUUUAAGGUUUUUGGCGUUAGGGUUUAAAUCACUGUCCAAAACCUUUGUAGGAACUCUUUUCCAACCUUUUGGAUUUAGUUAGACCAAAAAAAAAGAAAAAUGAAAAAAAAAAUAUUUGGGGUGUUCAGGCUUCCUAAAAGUAAUAUCCGGGUAUUAGGUUAUGGGGCUAUGGGAAGGUUUAAGGUUUUUGGCGUUAGGGUUAAAAUCACUGUCCAAAACCUUUGUAGGAACUCUUUUCCAACGUUUUGGAGUUAGUUAAACCAAAAAAAAAAUGAAAAAUGAAAAAAAAAAUAUUUGGGGUUUACGGGCUUCCUGAAUGUAAUACCCGGGUAUUAGAUUUUAAGGCCAGGGUAAGGUUUAAGUUUUUUGGCGUUAGGGUUAAAAUCACUGUCCAAAACCUUUGUAGGAACACUUUUCCAACCUUUUGGAGUUGGUUAGACCAAAAAAAAAAGAAAAAUGAAAAAAAAAUAUUUGGGGUGUUCAGGCUUCCUAAAAGUAAUACCCAGGUAUUAGGUUAUGGGGCUAUGGUAAGGUUUAAGUUUUUUGGCGUUAGGGUUAAAAUCACUGUCCAAAACCUUUGUAGGAACUCUUUUCCAACCUUUUGGAGUUAGUUAGACCAAAAAAAAAUUAAAAAAUUAAAAAAAAACAAUAUUUGGGGUUUUCGGGGUUCCUGAAUGUAAUACCCGGGUAUUAGAUUUUGAGGCUAGGGUAAGGUUUAAGUUUUUUGGCGUUAGGGUUAAAAUCACUGUCCAAAACCUUUGUAGGAACUCUUUUCCAACCUUUUGGAGUUGGUUACACCAACAAAAAUGUAAAAUGAAGAAAAAAAUAUUUGGGGUGUUCAGGCUUCCUGAAGGUAAUACCCGGGUAUUAGGUUUUGGGACUAGGGAAAGGUUUAAGGUUUUUGGCGUUAGGGUUAAAAUCACUGUCCAAAACCUUUGUAGGAACUCUUUUCCAACCUUUUGGAGUUGGUUACACCAACAAAAAUGUAAAAUGAAGAAAUAAAUAUUUGGGGUGUUCAGGCUUCCUGAAGGUAAUACCCGGGUAUUAGGUUUUGGGACUAGGGAAAGGUUUAAGGUUUUUGGCGUUAGGGUUAAAAUCACUGUCCAAAACCUUUGUAGGAACUCUUUUCCAACCUUUUGGAGUUAGUUAGACCAAAAAAAAAGAAAAAUGAAAAAAAAAUAUUUGGGGUGUUCAGGCUUCCUAAAAGUAAUACCCAGGUAUUAGGUUAUGGGGCUAUGGUAAGGUUUAAGUUUUUUGGCGUUAGGGUUAAAAUCACUGUCCAAAACCUUUGUAGGAACUCUUUUCCAACCUUUUGGAGUUAGUUAGACCAAAAAAAAAUGAAAAAUGAAAAAACAAUAUUUGGGGUGUUCAGGCUUCCUGAAGGUAAUACCCGGGUAUUAGAUUUUAAGGCCAGGGUAAGGUUUAAGUUUUUUGGCGUUAGGGUUAAAAUCACUGUCCAAAACCUUUGUAGGAACUCUUUUCCAACCUUUUGGAGUUAGUUAGACCAAAAAAAAAUGAAAAAUGAAAAAAAAAAUAUUUGGGGUUUUCGGGCUUCCUGAAUGUAAUACCCGGGUAUUAGAUUUUAAGGCCAGGGUAAGGUUUAAGUUUUUUGGCGUUAGGGUUAAAAUCACUGUCCAAAACCUUUGUAGGAACUCUUUUCCAACCUUUUGGAGUUAGUUAGACCAAAAAAAAAAGAAAAAUGAAAAAAAAAUAUUUGGGGUGUUCAGGCUUCCUAAAAGUAAUACCCAGGUAUUAGGUUAUGGGGCUAUGGUAAGGUUUAAGGUUUUUGGCGUUAGGGUUAAAAUCACUGUCCAAAACCUUUGUAGGAACUCUUUUCCAACCUUUUGGAGUUAGUUAGACCAAAAAAAAAAAGAAAAAUGAAAAAAAAAAUAUUUGGGGUGUUCAGGCUUCCUAAAAGUAAUAGCUGGGUAUUAGGUUAUGGGGCUAUGGUAAGGUUUAAGUUUUUUGGCGUUAGGGUUAAAAUCACUGUCCAAAACCUUUGUAGGAACUCUUUUCCAACCUUUUGGAGUUGGUUACACCAAAAAAAAUGUAAAAUGAAAAAAAAAUAUUUGGGGUGUUCAGGCUUCCUAAAAGUAAUACCCAGGUAUUAGGUUAUGGGGCUAUGGUAAGGUUUAAGUUUUUUGGCGUUAGGGUUAAAAUCACUGUCCAAAACCUUUGUAGGAACUCUUUUCCAACCUUUUGGAGUUAGUUAGACCAAAAAAAAAUGAAAAAUGAAAAAACAAUAUUUGGGGUUUUCGGGGUUCCUGAAUGUAAUACCCGGGUAUUAGAUUUUGAGGCUAGGGUAAGGUUUAAGUUUUUUGGCAUUAGGGUUAAAAUCACUGUCCAAAACCUUUGUAGGAACUCUUUUCCAACCUUUUGGAGUUGGUUACACCAACAAAAAUGUAAAAUGAAGAAAAAAAUAUUUGGGGUGUUCAGGCUUCCUGAAGGUAAUACCCGGGUAUUAGGUUUUGGGACUAGGGAAAGGUUUAAGGUUUUUGGCGUUAGGGUUAAAAUCACUGUCCAAAACCUUUGUAGGAACUCUUUUCCAACCUUUUGGAGUUAGUUAGACCAAAAAAAAAUGAAAAAUGAAAAAAAAAUAUUUGGGGUUUUCGGGGUUCCUGAAUGUAAUACCCGGGUAUUAGAUUUUAAGGCCAGGGUAAGGUUUAAGUUUUUUGGCGUUAGGGUUAAAAUCACUGUCCAAAACCUUUGUAGGAACUCUUUUUUCAACCUUUUGGAGUUAGUUAGACCAAAAAAAAAUGAAAAAUGAAAAAAAAAAUAUUUGGGGUUUUCGGGGUUCCUGAAUGUAAUACCCGGGUAUUAGAUUUUAAGGCCAGGGUAAGGUUUAAGUUUUUUGGCGUUAGGGUUAAAAUCACUGUCCAAAACCUUUGUAGGAACUCUUUUCCAACCUUUUGGAGUUAGUUAGACCAAAAAAAAAAGAAAAAUGAAAAAAAAA